AUGGAUCAAAGGCCCAAAAAAGGAGUGAAAGAAACAGAAGUUUCUAACAAAGCUGACCAUGGAAGGAUGGCCAGAACCACUAUCAAAGGACGCCUACAUAAAGAGUCUGGACCUCUACCAAAAAUGGGAGGUCUAGGCCCAGGAGGACUUACCACCAGGCACCAGAGCCACCAGGAGGAGACGACAGAGCACAAAAGAUUCUUUGCAGGCACCUUGCUUGUGUCUGUGAAGUGGCACCAGAAUUGAAGGUCAGUAGCUAGGGAUCCCACUUCUGUCACCAUGUAAAGUCAGCAAAUAAGAGGCAUAAACUGCAAAAGAACCAAAAAGUUUAUUUGGGGUCUCAAGAAUUGCAAUUCAGGAGAUGUAGAUUCGAGUAGAAGCUCAAAUGUGCUCCUAGGAAGACAAAGGAGGCAGGGGUAGAUAAAAGGAAAGGACACAGGCUUACAAAGGUCUACAGUGAACAGAUAAUGACUGGUUCUGGCAUGGGGUGAGCUGACUUGCCAGAACAUAGUUGGUCCUAGGCAGACUGCCCCUUCUUGGAAUGAGGAAACACUUCAAGAUGUGACCUCUGCUGUCAGGUAAAGCUCAAAAGUUCAGUUAACAUCUGGUGGUGGAUGUGGUGUACAAGCAUAAGCCCCACUUCCUUAAUGGCCUCCCAGCUCCAUUUUAGAAGCCUUGAAAAUGGUACUCCAUUUUGUCAUUGUCAUCCACCACAGUCACGCACCACGUAACAAUAUUAACGAUGUUUCGGUCACUAAUGGGCCACAUAUAUGACAGUGGUCCCAUACGGGUAGCACCACAUAGCCUGGGUGUGUAGUAGGCUCUACCACUUAGGUUUGUGUAAGUACACUGUGUGAUGUUCACACAACAGUGAAAGUACCUAAUGAUGCAUUUCUCAAAACAUGUCCCUUUCAUUAAGUGAGGUAUGCCCGUACUGAUUUUAGUCUUGUGAAUGUUGAAUAACGAAUCAUUCAUUUCAAUUAUUGGAGUCAGCCCCACUGGCUGAAGACGGUAAAGGCUGACUGAAGCAAAAAACUAAAAUUUGUUAUUCAACAUUCACAAAAACAAAUGAGUAAAGAACAUUUAAGUUCUAUAUCAGGGUUCAUGUAAGGCAAAAACAUUCUAAAGGAAAGAUGGAUUUG
rnacentral:lncRNA from 1 species